rnacentral:misc_RNA from 1 species
GUUGGUAACAGUGGGCCAUUAAAGCAUUUGCUUUUUGGACUUGAUGACAUCGGUAGGCUCCAUUUUGGUGGGAAAAUACUAUGUAACAACUGUAGUAGUUUCUCAUUUUACUCAAAUCUGGUUGACCAAGUAAUCACACAUUUGAUUCUUGCAACCAAACAGGAUUUCCUCUUAAUUGUCGAUAUUGAUGACAUACUGCAUGGCGAAGUAGAGUCAAAAUAUGAGAAUUUUGUUCACACUGGUAACAGAAGAAAAGAAGAAAAUAUGAACUUCAUACAUAUAUGGGAAAGAGGUGCCAAAAUUAUUGGUGUCCUGCAUGGUGAUGAUGCUGCUGUCAUAAUUCAAACAAC